rnacentral:tmRNA from 1 species
AUCCUUGAAAAAACACCUCCGAAACCCCAUAAUAAUCCUGCUGGUUUCCAGCUAUGGCGAUAAACCUCUUGCGGAAUAAGCGCUGCGGACCCGGGGGCGGUACCCGGCACCUCCACCAUCUCCCCGUUCCCUAAGUUGUCUAAAGGAACGAUAAGGAGCCGUCAGCCCAUCGCGUGCGGUGGGGUCAACGAGCUACGGGGGUGAAAUAGGAUCGACGCGCGUGGUAAAGGCCUGAGCUUUGCCCGGAAAGACACCUCCGGGAACUUCGGUUCCGACGGAUCAAACUUCACAAGUGCCAACGACAACGUGGCUCUUGCUGCUAACGACAACUUUGCGGUUGAAGUUGCUAACGCCGCCUAAUUAGGCACUUUAGCAAUACGUUACAGCGCGGUUCGGGGGGCGCCGGGCAACAGAAGCCCCCUACU